UGAGCAACCUGCCCUUGGCUUUGGGAUAACCCUCGGAAACGGGGGCUAAUACCGGAUACGAGACCGAGUGGCAUCACACGGUCUGGAAAGUUUUUUCGGUUAGGGAUGGGGUCGCGGCCUAUCAGCUUGUUGGUGGGUAAUGGCUCACCAAGGCGACGACGGGUAGCCGGCCUGAGAGGGCGACCGGCCACACUGGGACUGAGACACGGCCCAGACCUCCUACGUGAGGCA
rnacentral:rRNA from 1 species